AUUGAACGCUGGCGGCAGGCCUAACACAUGCCAGUCGAGCGGAUGAAGGGAGCUUGCUCCUGGAUUCAGCGGCGGACGGGUGAGUAAUGCCUAGGAAUCUGCCUGGUAGUGGGGGAUAACGUCCGGAAACGGGCGCUAAUACCGCAUACGUCCUGAGGGAGAAAGUGGGGGAUCUUCGGACCUCACGCUAUCAGAUGAGCCUAGGUCGGAUUAGCUAGUUGGUGGGGUAAAGGCCUACCAAGGCGACGAUCCGUAACCGGUCUGAGAGGAUGAUCAGUCACACUGGAACUGAGACACGGUCCAGACUCCUACGGGAGGCAGCAGUGGGGAAUAUUGGACAAUGGGCGAAAGCCUGAUCCAGCCAUGCCGCGUGUGUGAAGAAGGUCUUCGGAUUGUAAAGCACUUUAAGUUGGGAGGAAGGGCAGUAAGUUAAUACCUUGCUGUUUUGACGUUACCAACAGAAUAAGCACCGGCUAACUUCGUG
rnacentral:rRNA from 1 species